CCAACGGGGGGCUGCAGUCGAGGAUCAUUCGCAAUGGGCGAAAGCCUGACGAUGCGACGCUGCGUGGAGGAUGAAGGCCCUCGGGUCGUAAACUCCUGUCAUGAGGGAAGAGGGAAGCGCGGGUAACAUCCGCGCGACUUGACGGUACCUCAAGAGGAAGCCACGGCUAACUCUGUGCCAGCAGCCGCGGUAAUACAGAGGUGGCGAGCGUUGUUCGGAUUUACUGGGCGUAAAGGGCGCGUAGGCGGCCGCGUGUGUGGGGUGUGAAAUCUCCGGGCUCAACCCGGAAAGUGCGCCACAAACUGCGCGGCUGGAGUGCGGGAGGGGAGAUCGGAAUGCAGGGUGUAGCGGUGAAAUGCGUUGAUAUCCUGCAGAACACCGGUGGCGAAGGCGGAUCUCUGGAACGCAACUGACGCUGAGGCGCGAAAGUCGGGGGAGCAAACA
rnacentral:rRNA from 1 species